CAGAAUGGACACAGGGAACCAGCAGCAGCCAUCAGACAGGUACAACACGGGCAGUAGUAAGGCAGUUUUCCUCUCUCUGCCCAGCCAAUAUGCCUCCACCCUGACUCGGAAGGACAGAGCUAAGUCUCGGGUUGAGAGCAGUUCACUCUGUGUGGCCUGUUCAGUUCCUGGCGCUG
ensembl:misc_RNA